CCUACGGGAGGCAGCAGUGAGGAAUAUUGGUCAAUGGACGAGAGUCUGAACCAGCCAAGUAGCGUGAAGGAUGACUGCCCUAUGGGUUGUAAACUUCUUUUAUAAAGGAAUAAAACGAGGCACGUGUGCCUUUUUGCAUGUACUUUAUGAAUAAGGAUCUGCUAACUCCGUGCCAGCAGCCGCGGUAAUACGGAGGAUCCGAGCGUUAUCCGGAUUUAUUGGGUUUAAAGGGAGCGUAGAUGGGUUGUUAAGUCAGUUGUGAAAGUUUGCGGCUCAACCGUAAAAUUGCAAUUGAUACUGGCAGUCGUGAGUACAGUUGAGGUAGGCGGAAUUCGUGGUGUAGCGGUGAAAUGCUUAGAUAUCACGAAGAACCCCGAUUGCGAAGGCAGCUUACUAAACUGUGACUGACAUUGAUGCUCGAAAGUGUGGGUAUCAAACAGGAUUAGAUACCCGAGUAGUC
rnacentral:rRNA from 1 species